UUCCUUCAAAGCUCCUCCUGGCAGCACUUUCAUUUCACAAAUGAGGAAACAGAAACUCCGUGAAAAUAAUUUGCCGGAGUCCCCUCCACUUCUCUCCUUCUGUUGCUCCUUCAUUUUGUUUGUUUGUUUCUUGUUUGUUUACAGCCCCCAAGGAAACUCAUCGCCAGAGAGGGAGCCCGGGAAUGAAUGCAGUGCAGAGAGAGACGGGUCAGAUUCGCUUCGCAGAAAGAGCAUCCUGGCAUCUGCAGGUUUAGAAAGAGGUUAAAGGAAGCAUCUCUGAGGUGACCUAUGAGGAGUAACGGAAGAGCUCCCAGACACAGGCAGCCCGAGAGAGCCCAGCCCAUCAGGAUUUGCACUCAGAAGCUCAUCGUACUCUCUGAUGGUCCGUCUACACUACCGACUGAUACUCCCGUUCCCUGAGCUGGAGACGAUUUUACCCGUAGGAAGAGACUGUGUUGCUCACACUGCACCCUUGUGCCCUGUUGCCCCCUUGGCAACAUGCUGGUCGCCAGAGACUGCCAGGGAAGGGCCAGCUCCCUGGACCACGGUUCUUCCUGCCACCGACAACAUCUCCUAGAGGCCUUCCAGGGCUGCUCUCCACCCUGGUCAACCCCGUGUGAUCUAGGAGACUGACAAAUUGGUCAUCAGAGGGAUCAGAGGGAGGGACAUGGAGAUAGAUUGACAGUGGUGAUGAGUGCAAAUACACAUGUUAAUUUCA